AACGAACGCUGGCGGCAUGCUUAGCACAUGCAAGUCGAACGAGACCGUCGGGUCUAGGGGCGCACGUGUACGUAACAAGUGGGAACCUGCCCUUAGGUUCCCAGUAACUGCCCGAGAGGGGUCCUAAUACCAGUGGGGGUCUUCGGGCAAAAGAGUUCUGGCCUUUGGAUGGGGCUUCGUUGGAUUAGCUGGUUGGUAGGGUAAACGCGUGCUAAGACGGCGAUCCAUAGUUAGUCUGAGAGGAUGCUCAGCCAGACUGGGACUGAGACACGGCCCAGACGCCUACGGGAGGUAGCAGUGGGGAAUAUAGGGGAAUGGGCGAAAGCCUGCUCCAGCGAGGCCGCGAGAGCGAUGAAGGCCUUGGGGUUCUAAAGCUCCUUUACCCGGGAUGAUAAGGACAGAACCGGGAGAAUAAGACCCGGCUAACUCGGU
rnacentral:rRNA from 1 species